AAAAGUCUCAUCUGCACAUAGUCUGUUUGCAUGUUUUUGAUUUUUUUUUUCUUUUAUUAGCUUAUUUCCAUGUGGUUUCUUAAGGUAAUUCUCGAUCUUGCCUCAGAAAAAUCAUAAGGCUGCCAUAUGGGUGCAUAAUCAGGCCAAAGAAAAUAAGAAAAUGUGAGGCUCACAGACCUCUAAUAUUAUCAAGAACAUCACUCUGCAUGUGGAAGCUUUGGUACAUUUCAAUCAGUUUGGAAGGUCAGCCAGAAAAAUGGAGAAGACAAAUUGUUUACAUUUACCCCUAAAACAAAUGCAUAUACCUAGAUUAAACUAAUUUCACUUACUGCUUUAUUAUUGCAAUAUGAGCUGCACAUCUAAAAACCAUCUGCAUGCAGAAAAAUAGGGCAUUGCUAGAUACCAGAUUAAGAAUAAAAAAGUGAAGAAGGAUAAGAAUGUAUGCUGGGCUCUUCAAGGAAGAAGGCAUGGGAAAAAGAGUGUUCAUUUGGGAAAAGCUCAGCUUGCUCUAUUGCAAUGACCUUCACUCAUGCUCUGCAUCUGCAAACUCAGUGACAACAUCUUUGCUUUUUUUAUAUUCAUACUACUUGUGUACACUGCCCAAAUUAAUCAUAGUAUACAAUAUCUUACAGCAGUCUGAAAAAGCUCACUAGUUCAAAAGUCACAGAUUGAUAGAAGCGCUGAGAAAUAAUAAAGCUCAACACGCUUGUUGCAGUAGACAGUGAUGUGAUCAUUGUAGCUCUGAUUCAUGCAUUACAUCUUCUGUUUUUCAUUCCAUAUGUUGCUGCCGAAUGUCCAGCCCAAGGAAGCUAUGUGUCGGGACAUAUUUCAUUGUGCUUUUCUAUUGAUUGUAUGGAAUGCAAGCAGAAUUCCUGCAAGAUAGCAAACUACUUCAGAAAAAUCAUGAGCAAAGGCAGAUGAGCCUACGUCUCCUCCCAAGCCUCCUGCUGCCAACAGAUUCUACAGUGGAUCAGUGGGAAUGAAUACACAAAUGAUGAUGCUUUUCUAUGGAAACAGUGAAUUUCAACCACAGAAAAGAAUAUAGAAGUAAGAACACAGGAACUGAAAGCUUUCUAGUCCUACUCUACAAUUUUCUCAUUUGCUCUUUAUCUGAGUUACUAACACAACAGGAGACAUGAGGAGGACAGGAACUUACCUGAACUACCGACUCAGAAACAGAUUUGUGAAAAUGACUGGGGAAGUUGCAGAGUACAUAAGACGGCUGCAGGAAAGACAACAAAAGGAACAAUUGUUAUGUGAAGAAUAAAGAAUCACAAGCUUGGGGUUUUUUUCCUCAAGGAGGAAGGAGGGGCUUUUCAAAAUGAUAUUAUCUUUGCCACUACUCAGUCUUCACAUGUACUCUUUUAUUCCUAAAAUAUACUAUAUGCUUUCCUAGGAAAUGUUCUGAAAAGUCUUGAAGAAACCACUUCUUCUCACAUAUUUCCCUAUGUUUUCUUCUGAAA
ensembl:lncRNA